GUACAAAAGCACUUGCAUACAGGAUGUCGGACAUGCUGCACGUUAAGCAGCUGCUCCAAUGGUUAACCCUACAAUGGCGCGCCGAUCACGGAUGAUUUUGCUUCUUUUGAACAUCUGGUUCUUCCAAUCUGGCGCAUCACGCCUUCGCUGCUGGCAACCUAAAGCUGUGGGCGAUGUAACAAGUCGAUACCUUCGUGGUUCUACAACAUAUGGACGGCCCAAUGCAUUGGUUUCAUCUACAGUGGCUGUGGCGGAAAUUUGAACAGAUUCAAAACGGAGGAAGAGUGCAACAAUGUCUGCUUACGCCCAAAUAAGCCAAAGGACAACGUCUGCAGCUUGGAAGCGAAUUCCGGUCCUUGCAAAGGAUAUAACCCACGGUGGACCUACGACCACGAGAAGGACAUAUGCCGGGGAUUUGUGUACGGUGGUUGUAAAGGCAACGCGAACAGAUUUGAAACGUGCAUGGAGUGCAUGAAAAGGUGCAGUGGAAGAGAGGGUCAUUUGCGUCAUUGCAUUCUACUGACGCCGAAAUUCAACGACAAGUUUUACAGGGCAUGGGAGCCCGAAUAAAUUGCUUGGCUUUACGUUAAAACGGCAUUUUUUGUUGUUCAAGUACUUAUUAUGAAGAAUAAAAUUAUGUGAAGCGUUUUAUAGCUGCA
rnacentral:lncRNA from 1 species